GGGUUUAGUGGUAUUUUGUUUACAAAAGUCUUAAGUAGUCCAACCUGGUGUCCGACUCAAGAUCCUUCUGCUUCAGCCUCCGGGUGCUGCGAUUACAAGCCGACAGAAAGGCCGACUUCUUUACUAUGUACCAAUUUACAUAAAAGGAGAAAGCUUGGCCGACAUAUCUUCUGAAUUGUAUCAAGUCCCAGGAACCUUCACAAGGAAUUCAUCCGAGGACAAUAUCAUGCAGGUGAGCCAACACGCCAUGCUAUGGGAAGAACCCGAGGAAGCGCUGAGCAGGUCAAUAAACCACACGACAAAGCAGACAACAGCCACAGGGAAAAGAAUGUUUAUUUUCAAGGACUGUGCCAACAAUGGUGAAUAAAAAAUGGUAUUUCAACUAUAAAAAGGAACUGAUUUCAUUUGAUCCUGGUGCCUGAAUCUGAGGCAAUAUUGCUACUCUCAUACCUCCACCCCUAGAGGACUUCUCCUAGAGGAAAAUUUGUCAGUUUUUGAGACCCAUCGGCCUAAAUAAUGAGUACAGCAGGUUCCUAUGGACUUGUUUACAUAAAGUGAAGAGUCAAGAAGUAAAACAGGCUAUUUGCUUCUUCAUGUACUUUUUGGAACAUUCUGGUAAGAAAACAUCCUAAAAUCUACCAACUCAGGCAUUUAGGCCAAGAGGACCCACGAAAGAGACUACAGAAUGAAAGCUGUCUAAGAAAUGAAGCCGCUCUACAGACCACACUUGGAGACAUCAGCCCUACUAGUGAAAACAGGUCACCAAAUCCAAAGUAACUAGUGCUGAACCUGCCUCCCACGGGACACCCAGUGAGUGAGUCAUCAGGUCCCCAACUCACACUCGGGCUCUAUCUCUCCAGACCCAUCAGAUUUCGUCUCUCCCCUGUGAACAAUCCUCAAGAAUGACCAUGGAAACAGCAAUCGUUGCAAUCCGCCCCGCGGACCAGUUCUUGGAGAGAGAUGCUCACGCAAACAGUGCUUUAAACUGCUACAAUCAAAGCACUCAGAGGCAUCAGAACCCUUGCAGCGUAUGCAGACCAGCGCUGGGCCUCAGGCUCUACCAUGGACAGUUCAACUGGACCGCUUGUGUAUACCCUGCUGUAUUAGCAUCAAUAUUAGGCCUACUUUUUUAAAAGAUUGUUGUAGACUUUACAACUAACAGCUGAUUCUUUUGCAGGCAUAAGGAGGAAGGGACGGAGAAGUCUUCCCUUUCAAUGUUGAGUCAUCUAACAUCAUCUACUCGGGAGUCCACACCCAGGAAAAGCCCUGAAUACUCAGCUGGAAAGUUUCGUUUUCCUUUACUCAUUUUAUUAAUGGAUUCUGUGAGCUGUCCAAUAUGUUAAUAUCGUGACCCCUCUCAUUUCAAUUUCUCAUGGUCUUAUAGUAAAUACAACAGUGAAAUACUGAAGUAUGAAGAAAAUUGAGAGCUGGCAGGGAACAACUAAAUACUGCUGUAACCCAGAUUAACGAACAAGCUUGCGUCUUUUAUAACAUGACAAAAUUCCCAUCUAUAUAUGCUUUCAUUACAGUAAAUUCUUAUACUAAAUGAA